ensembl:lncRNA
GGAUCUCCAGCUAGAGAUCCUUCCUCUUGGAGUCCUUCUGUGAGCCUAGGAUACAGUGGACAGCUUUGCAUGCCCAGAGAAGAGAAGAAAAUGCAGAAUACAGCAUCAGUGCUCUUGCGCAAGGAGAACCCUUCCAAAAAUCAAUGGUUAUGGGAAUUCCUGAGCUGAGAGAUGCUUCUGGAUGACCAUGCUUAAUAAUCACUGGAGAACCCAGCUAAAGAUUCCACAUCACCUUAGCAAGAAGUCCCACUGUGCAGUAGUGAACACUUCUUGCCAAGAUUCAGAGAAUACCUAAUGCUGUCAUUUUAUGUUGGUCACUCAGUAGGUAAUGUUUCUUAUUUAUUUCCAUGGAAACUACAGCAGAUACAAAGAGCACAUUAACACUAUUUGAUAGAGAAAAUUCUCAGCCACAGAUCGCUGUUUUUCAACAUAGUUGCCACCAUUAGCUACACAUUUUCACUUGCUAUGACCAAGAGCCUGCAUGCUCUGCUCAUAAAAAUCUGCACCAGUGGAGAUGACCCACUGUUUCACAGCUGGUAUGACAGCAUCAUUGCUAGGAAAUACUUUUCCCAUGCAGUCCAUCUUUCAUUGGCCCAAACAGAUGAAAGUCAGAUCCAAACUGUGUGGUGGAUGUAGUAGGUCAGUCCAGCCAAGACUGGCAAUGUGCUCCAUGGUCUUCAAACAGGCAUGGGGCCUGGUGUUACCAUGUUGCAAGAGAAAGGCUGUCUUCUUCUCCAGCCUGACUCUGCAAGUUUGAGCUUUCUGCUUAGUCAAUGCCAUACUGCAGUGGUCGGAGUUGAUGGUCUGUCCCAGUUCCAGUAAAUCCAGAAGGAUUGCCCCUUUUCCUAUCCCAAAAGACACUGCACAUGACUUUACCCAUUAAGGGCUGCAUCUGGAACUUCUUCAGUGUGGAAUUUGCAUGUUGCUACUUCGUGAGCUGCCAUUUUGGUGCUGGAGCAUAAUGGAGACACCACAUCUCAUCACCAGAAAUGAUGUGAUUGAGAAAACUGUCACCUUCAUCUUCAUAUUGGUUCAAUGUGUCAUGACAUACUUGCGUACAGUGUUCUUUCUGUUCCUGUGUGAGCAUUUGUGGGACCCAUCUGCUACAAACUUCAUGAUAUGCCAGUGUUGCCACCAUCAUUUCCAGUGCAUUGAAGCUGAUACACAGUUUACUGGUCAUAAUCUGCUGAUUCACAUGGAUGAGAUGAUCAGGUCACUCUUCAUUUUGUGGUGUGACAGAUGUGUGUGGCCAUCCAGAAUGUGGGUUGCCUUUCACAUCACUGUUGCCACUGCUGAAACACAGCACUCCCCCCUCUGUGUUAACAUCCAUUAUUUGGUCUUCAUAAACAUUCAGCAAGUGUCAAUGAAUGUCAGUGGCUACCAUCCUUUUUUUUUUUUGACAAGAAAGAAUUCAGUGGCACACCUUUGUUUCCUAUGCACUUUCAUGCCAGGUGCCAUCUUGUCAGACUGCCCCUCUGCUGCCAUCUUUGCAAGGCAACAACAUGUAACAGGAUGUUGGUGGGAAGGUUCAUCCUCUACUGCCGCACCACCACCAACAACCUCCUCUGACAUCAUGGGCUGACAUCUUAAAGUAGAAGGUGUUACUUUUGGAGCAGCCCUUAUAGCUACAGUUUUAUACUUGAAAACAUUGUAAAAUUAUAAGAGUGUGCACUGGAUGCAGUUCUGCAUAUGUUGGGUUAUGGACUGAAUUUAGUGCUCCAACUUAGACUCUUCAUUGCUUUAUUUAUUAUAAAUAUUCCAGGCCAAAUUACCACUCAGCAGCCUGAGUGAUAUAAUAGUCUCCUAAACAUCAAGGAAACAGAGAGAGAAAAUAACUCCAAACUUUGUUAUUCAUAUUUGUAAAUUAGAAUAUUACAUUUCUGAG